rnacentral:rRNA from 2 species
AACGAACGCUGGUGGCACGCCUAACACAUGCAAGUCGAGCGCACUUAUGACCUUCGGGUUAUAAGCGAGCGGCGGACGGGUUAGUAACGCGUGGGAACGUACCCUUUACUACGGAAUAGCCUUUGGAAACGAAGAGUAAUACCGUAUACGCCCUUUGGGGGAAAGAUUUAUCGGUAAAGGAUCGGCCCGCGUAAGAUUAGAUAGUUGGUGGGGUAAUGGCCUACCAAGUCUACGAUCUUUAGCUGGUUUGAGAGGAUGAUCAGCAACACUGGGACUGAGACACGGCCCAGACUCC